UCUCCGUAGGUGAACCUGCGGAGGGAUCAUUACAGAGUUCAUGCCCUACCGGGUAGAUCUCCCACCCUAUGUUAUUGUUACUUUGUUGCUUUGGCGGGCCGUUAGGCUCCGGCCCGACUACCGGCCCCGGCUGGUAAGCGCCCGCCAGAGGACCCAAAACCCUGAAUAUUAGUGUCGUCUGAGUACUAUAUAAUAGUUAAAACUUUCAACGACGGAUCUCUUGGUUCUG
rnacentral:misc_RNA from 1 species